rnacentral:rRNA from 1 species
AACUUUCAACAACGGAUCUCUUGGCUCUCGCAUCGAUGAAGAACGCAGCGAAAUGCGAUAAGUAAUGUGAAUUGCAGAAUUCAGUGAAUCAUCGAAUCUUUGAACGCACCUUGCGCUCCUUGGUAUUCCGAGGAGCAUGCCUGUUUGAGUG